rnacentral:rRNA from 1 species
UUAUAUUAAUCUGUGAACGGCUCAUUAAAACAGUUAUAAUGUACAUUGAUGCUUAAUUUUUAACUGAAUUCACACGGAUAUCCCAAAUAACUUUCGGGAUAAUACGUACUCGACUCGCGUUAAUUCAACGCGUAAGAUUAGUCUAUUUUGAUAAAAGACUACCAAGGCCCUUUCUUAACACAGAGUGUCCUUCACCAUUUUGUUUUGCUUCAUGCAUUUAUAGAGGAAAUUAAGAAGACUUGAUAAUCUUCGAUGAUGACUUCUUGAAAAGUGGGCGUCAAUUAUUAUUUCUUACCCAUCAGCUUGUGAAAUUUUGAACGGUUCUAAACUUGGCUACCACGGGUUCGAGGGAUUAGUGUCUUAUAUCGGAGAGGGAGCAUGAGAAAAGGCUACCACAUCUAAGGACGGCAGCAGGCGCGCAAACUACCCAAUUCCAACUCGGAGAGGUGGUGACAAGAAAUAACGACCUUCUUCUAUUUUUAGGGGAAGGGUAUCCUUAAAAAAGAUUUGUAAUGGUUACAAAUUAAAUUAUUGUAAGAUUAACAAUUGGAGGAAAAGUCUGGUGCCAGCACCCGCGGUAAUUCCAGCUCCAAUAGUGUAUUCUAAAAUUGUUGUAGUUAAAACGCUCGUAUUUUAUUUUUAAACUGGGAGGUUGUUGUCAAGUCGUUUUCGCUCGAUUAAGUGGAAGUUAUUAAGUCCAUUCUAUUGAGUACCAUCAUUUAUGUUGGUAAGAAAACAUCUUUUUAGUCCAUCUAUGAAUGGUUAUUUGGCUUAUGUCAUUGAACAUUUAACGGAUGAUAGCAAUACAAACAGUGACAUAUUUUCACUUUUGUGAAAUAACUGCGAAUAAAUCAAAGUGCUUCAAACGGGCAUUGAUUUUUUGCAAGAAUGUCUUAGCGUGGUAUUAAAUUUUAAUUCUUCUUUUUGGGAGAAUGUAAGAAAAGAGACCCAGGAAGAGGGUUCAAGAAUUGCCUUGUCAGAGGUGAAAUUCAGAAAACCAGGCGGACUACCUGAUGCGAAAGCGGUUAUUCCACCCGUCACAAGUCUCUCAAUGAGGAACGAAAGUUAGGGGAUCGAAAAUGAUUAGAUACCAUUGUAGUCCUAACCCGUAAACUAUGCUGACAGAAGAUUGGGAAAAUACCUUUUCUCCAGAUUUCCUCAGAAUUCAAAGGAAACUGAAAGUUUUUGAGUUCUAGGGGGAGUAUAGUCGCAAGGCCGAAACUUAAAAGAAUUGACGGAAGAGCACCACCAGGAGUGGAAUUUGCGGCUUAAUUCGACUCAACACGGGAAAACUCACCAGGUCCGGACAAUUGUAGGAUUGACAGGUUAAAGUCCUUUCUUGAUUAUUUGUAUGGUGGUGCAUGGCCGUUCUUAGUUCGUGGAGUGGUUUGUCAGGUUGAUUCCGAUAACGAACGAGACCUUAGCUUACUAACUAUGUUAUCGGUAGAUCUCUCGAGUUCUACUAGCUUUUCGAAGCCGAUAAUAAGGGAUUUACUUUUAAUCCUGCUUCUUAGAAGGACAAUGCUGCGUUUUUUUAAAAAAAAUUAGCUCAGGGAAGUUGAAGGCAAUAACAGGUCUGUAAUGCCCUUAAAUGUUCUGGGCUGCACGCGUAUUACAAUGUUAAUUCCGACAAGUUUAUUCUAACUUUGCAUUUGCCAAAGUUAUACCUUCUCUAUAAAAGAGUGGGAAAUCUUUUCAAGAGUUAACGUGACAGGGAUAGACCCUUGAAAUUUGGUCUUGAACGAGGAAUUCCUAGUAGAUUCAAUUCAUUAAUUUGAAUCGAUUACGUCCCUGCUCUUUGUACACACCGCCCGUCGCUCCUACCGAUGGAAUGAAAAGGUGAAUUUGAAGGACUGGUGAAUCCGUUAAAAGAUUUGCUAGAAAUUUAUUUAAAUCUCUUGUUGUAGAAGA